rnacentral:rRNA from 1 species
UGCCAGCAGCCGCGGUAAUACAGAGGGUGCAAGCGUUAAUCGGAAUUACUGGGCGUAAAGGGCGCGUAGGUGGUUGAUUAAGUGGUUUUUGAAACCUCCGGGCUUAACCUGGAGCGUAGGAAUCAUACUGAUGAACUGGAGUACAGUAGAGGUAAGUGGAAUUUCCGGAGUAGCGGUGAAAUGCGUAGAUACCGGAAGGAACACCAGUGGCGAAGGCGACUUACUGGACUGAGACUGACACUGAGGCGCGAAAGCGUGGGUAGCGAACAGGAUUAGAUA